rnacentral:lncRNA from 10 species
CUUUCCAGGACUCUGAAGAUUUGUCUCCAUAUUCUCUGGAAAGAUGUACUCUGUUUGCAAUAAGAGGGAGCCACAUGGCUUAUCAGAUGGUUGUUAACUGAGCAUUCUGUGCAAAGAAUUUGUGCCUUAGAUUUAGAAUUCCACCCUCAGCUGGAAUACAGAUGAUCCCUAACAAGUCACAUGAAAAAAUGAAUUGUGGAGCCAGAAGAGUGAGUCCUUGGAGAACUAAGGGCCAGAGACCUACCCAGGUGCAUAUUGAGAUCUGUGCGUCUGCAGAGAACAUGCACUUUUUCCUGUGUGGUGCUGCUUAAUUCAUGCUCAGAACUGACUACCUGAGAAAGUGACAAGGAGAGAAGUAGAUUGUGAAGGGACAAGGCCCAGAACGAGAGAGUAAAGUUGUUUGGAAGAAUCAAUUCGAGAAGACUUCCUGGGAGAGGCAGUUUUGUAAAGAGUUGAGGGUAAGUCUGUACGGGGGCACGGAAAAACAAAAGUCUAGUUUAUAAAUGUGUCUUUUCACUGCCUCGUAUUCAGUUUCUGUGUCAAAUGUUUAAAAAGGCUUGCUGUCUUUUUAAAAAAUAUAUAUUAUUAUUAUUUAAUAAUAUAAAACAAG